GAUGAACGCUGGCGGCGUGCCUAAUACAUGCAAGUCGAACGAGGUGCUUUUGUAGCAAUACGAGGGUAUCCUAGUGGCGAACGGGUGAGUAACGCGUUGGUGACCUGCCCCGAAGUGUGGGAUAACAGUCCGAAAGGAUUGCUAAUACCGCAUGUGGCCAUCGGGUUUAGCAACCGAAGUCUAAAGCAGCAAUGCGCUUUGGGAGGGACCUGCGUCCCAUCAGCUAGUUGGUGAGGUAACGGCUCACCAAGGCGACGACGGGUUGAGGGCCUGAGAGGGUGGCCCCCCACAAUGGAACUGAAACACGGUCCAUACACCUACGGGUGGCAGCAGUAGGGAAUAUUGCACAAUGGGCGAAAGCCUGAUGCAGCAACGCCGCGUGAGCGAAGAAGGCCUUCGGGUCGUAAAGCUCUUUUCUGGGAGAUGAGAAAGGACAGUAUCCCAGGAAUAAGUCUCGGCUAACUACGUGCCAGCCGCCGCGGUAAUAC
rnacentral:rRNA from 1 species